rnacentral:rRNA from 1 species
AACGAACGCUGGCGGCAUGCCUAACACAUGCAAGUCGAACGAGACCUUCGGGUCUAGUGGCGCACGGGUGCGUAACGCGUGGGAACCUGCCCUUAGGUUCGGAAUAACUCCCCGAAAGGGGUGCUAAUACCGGAUAAUGUCUUCGGACCAAAGAUUUAUCGCCGUUGGAUGGGCCCGCGUUGGAUUAGCUGGUUGGUAGGGUAAAAGCCUACCAAGGCGACGAUGCAUAGCUGGUCUGAGAGGAUGAUCAGCCACACUGGGACUGAGACACGGCCCAGACUCCUACGGGAGGCAGCAGUGGGGAAUAUUGGACAAUGGGCGAAAGCCUGAUCCAGCAAUGCCGCGUGAGUGAUGAAGGCCUUAGGGUUGUAAAGCUCUUUUACCCGGGAUGAUAAUGACAGUACCGGGAGAAUAAGCUCCGGCUAACUCCGUG